rnacentral:tRNA from 1 species
GAUUAUCAUAAUUUGCUUGCAAAGUAAAUAUUGCUAUUAAAUAGGAUAGUUU